rnacentral:tRNA from 1 species
GGUUGUGGCUCAGUGGUCGAGUGCUUGUCUACCAAGCCUGAGGCACUGAGUUCCAUCCUCAGCACCUCA